AUGCCCUGUAAUAAGUGUAUCCGACCGUUCCAUUGUUUUGUCAUCUCAUGUAAAAAGCACGUGUAUCCGAACGUUACAUUGUUUUGUCCAUAAAUUGAGAGACUUUUUGCUGCGCUCCUACUUUAACAUCCUUGGUUUUGUCAUCUCAUGUUAAAAAAAAAGAAACAUUUAAUUGGAGAAAUAAGAAAGUAAUAAGUGUAUCCGAACGUUCCAUUGUUUUGUCAUCUCAUGUAAAAAGCACGUGUAUCCGAACUUUACAUUGUUUUGUCUCGCCGGGUCAGCUAGUAUGUAAUAUGUUGAAGCGACUUCUACACUUAAAAGAAUUUUGCUGUGAAAAUUUUCCAUUAUCCGAUCAACUCCAAAGACAUGAGUGGGCGGAACUAGAAAAAAUUAUGCAGGCUCUACAACCAGCUACCACAACAGGGCACUGGCCAUUUGGGGAACAUCCGUCCAAAAUGGGCCCUACAACGACAUCUGCCGUGGCUGCGGAGUAGCAGGGAACAAGGAAACAAUCUUCCACUUUCUCUGCGAAUGCCCAGCUCUAGCACAGAUCCGACACAAAACACUCGGAAUCCACCAAGCACCAAACCUUGAAUGGAUUUCCACCAAAAGCAUAUCGGACAUAAGUAGUUUCAUCGAAACCUUAAAAUGGUUUGAGAGAGAAGGUGAAACGUAAUAGCAGAUACAGAAGGUUCUACGAAUAGUGUAUCAAAAUGGCACGUCAAGUGCUAAUUGAGCCCGAUAGGGCUGCACUCCUACCUACCUACCUACCUCUACAACCAGUAAAUACUCUGACGCUGAAACUACAAAAAUCUAAUUUAUUGUUCGGAGAUUUUUAUUAAAAUUGGCUAGAGCUUAUUUUUACUCUAAAAGACUUCAAUACUGAGAUGACCAGACAACUUCUGGAUCACAUCGAAAAAAGGCAAACAAAGUUGCUUGAAUGUGACACUAUGUAUGCAGCCCUAUUUCUAGACCCCAGAUUUAAGCGUGUGUUGUCAAAUGAGAAAAUAAAUUCGGCCAUAAAUCAUUUAAAAAAUGGUGCUCCAGCUAGUAAACGUGCAAAACACUGAAACUCAGCGAUUUUCAUGCUGGGCACCACAUGUUGCAGAAGACUUAUUUCUAAUAGAUGAAAGCUCCGUUGCAAGCUCUCGAUCUUUAUUAGCUGACGGUUUAAAGUCAAUGGAGAUGAAUUAUUCGUCUUCGGAUGAAGAUGACAUUCCUACGUCAAUAAAUGACAGCCUCCGAAAAGCGUAUUUUGAAAUAGAUAAUUAUAAAGAAAAACGUUUGGGUACUUCUGCUAAUUUAUUGGAAUAUUGGGAGAGCAAAAAAAUUGCGUAUCCAUGGCUUCGAAAAUUAGCUUUAAUUCUUCAUUCUGUACCUGCCACUCAAGUCAGUGUAGAAAGGUCAUUUUCGGCACUCAGAUUGAUAUUGGGAGAUUUGAGAUAUAAUUUAUCUGAGGAACAUUUAAAAUCGAUUAUGAUGGUAAAAUUGAACACCUGAAAAAACCUCUUAACACUGACUUGAAUGGCAGCCAAAACUUAUAAGCCUCUCGCAGUAGUAACCAUUACUUUUUAAGUUUUACGUAAGCUAAGAAUUUUAGAAUUUUUUUUAUUUCGCUCUAUUCACGUUUUAUAGCUGAUACAUUAUCCAUGAUAUUUUCAUAAUUUUAUAUAUUUUAAUUGUCAAUUUCUUCUUUAUCACUACGCCUAAAUUUGCUUCUUCUGAAUACUGUUUUAAUUAAAGCAUUGCUACCGUGAAUAUAUCUACGUAAGAGUUUAUUGGACGUUUGAUAAUGGAUAAGUAUUCAUAUAUAAAAAUUGGAAUGAUGCAGCAUAUUGUAAUACAUACGGCAUAAAUAAAUAAAUAAAUAAAUAAAAAUUUUGAAUUUAUUUUUAUUAUUG